rfam:Populus trichocarpa scaffold_9_contig_113, whole genome shotgun sequence.
UGCUGUGAUGAUGAUAUUAUAAUCUCGUUAAUCUGAUAUUAACCAUGAGGAAAAACCCUCUAAUCCUUUCUGAGC